rnacentral:tRNA from 1 species
ACCACGGUGGUCUAGCGGUUAGGAUGCUGGCCUUGUAAUCCUGGGGUCUCGGGUUCGAUUCCCGGCGGUGCCA